AUACGUAGGUGGCAAGCGUUGUCCGGAAUUAUUGGGCGUAAAGCGCGCGCAGGCGGUCCUUUAAGUCUGAUGUGAAAGCCCACGGCUCAACCGUGGAGGGUCAUUGGAAACUGGGGGACUUGAGUGCAGAAGAGGAAAGUGGAAUUCCAAGUGUAGCGGUGAAAUGCGUAGAGAUUUGGAGGAACACCAGUGGCGAAGGCGAUUUUCUGGUCUGUAACUGACGCUGAGGCGCGAAAGCGUGGGGAGCAAACAGGAUUAGAUACCCUGGUAGUCCACGCCGUAAACGAUGAGUGCUAAGUGUUAGGGGGUUUCCGCCCCUUAGUGCUGCAGCUAACGCAUUAAGCACUCCGCCUGGGGAGUACGGUCGCAAGACUGAAACUCAAAUGAAUUGACGGGG
rnacentral:rRNA from 1 species